AAUUUCUGACCUAUCAACUAUGAUGGUAAGGUAGGGUCUUACCAUGGUUGUGACGGGUAACGGACCGUGGGUGCGGGAUUCCGGAGAGGGAGCCUGAGAAACGGCUACCACAUCCAAGGAAGGCAGCAGGCGCGCAAAUUACCCAAUCCGGACACCGGGAGGUAGUGUCAAAAAAUAGCAAUAGAGGGCCCGAUGGGCUCUCUAAUUGGAAUGAGAACAAUUUAAACCUCUUAUCGAGGAGCCAGCAGAGGGCAAGUCUGGUGCCAGCAGCCGCGGUAAUUCCAGCUCUGUAAGCGUAUACCAAAGUUGUUGCAGUUAAAACGCUCGUAGUCGGAUUUUGGCGGAGACCGUAGGCCGUCCGCGAGGACGUGUCUAGUGGUUGACGCCUUUGUGGAGGGGGGCUUGGUGGUGCUUUGCUGCAUCACCAAGUCGCUGCCACCGUUUACUGUGAAUAAAUUAGAGUGUUCAAAGCAAGCGAUUUGCCCUGAAUACAUUAGCAUGGAAUAAUAGAAUAGGACCUGGUCUUUUUUUUCUAUUGGU
rnacentral:rRNA from 1 species